rnacentral:rRNA from 1 species
CCUACGGGGUGCAGCAGUAGGGAAUAUUGCUCAAUGGGGGAAACCCUGAAGCAGCAACGCCGCGUGGAGGAUGAAGGUUUUCGGAUUGUAAACUCCUUUUGUUAGAGAAGAUAAUGACGGUAUCUAACGAAUAAGCACCGGCUAACUCCGUGCCAGCAGCCGCGGUAAUACGGAGGGUGCAAGCGUUACUCGGAAGCACUGGGCGUAAAGAGAGCGUAGGCGGGAUAGCAAGUCAGAUGGGAAAUCCUAUGGCUUAACCAUAGAACUGCAUUUGAAACUGUUAUUCUAGAGUAUGGGAGAGGUAGGUGGAAUUCUUGGUGUAGGGGGAAAAACCGUAGAGAUUCAGAGGAAUACUCAUUGCGAAGGCGACCUGAUAGAACAUAACUGACGCUGAUGCGCGAAAGCGUGGGGAGCAAACAGGAUUAGAUACCCGAGUAGUC